rnacentral:rRNA from 1 species
UACGUAGGGUGCGAGCGUUGUCCGGAAUUACUGGGCGUAAAGAGCUUGUAGGUGGUUUGUCGCGUUGUUCGUGAAAACUCACAGCUCAACUGUGGGCGUGCGGGCGAUACGGGCAGACUAGAGUACUGCAGGGGAGACUGGAAUUCCUGGUGUAGCGGUGGAAUGCGCAGAUAUCAGGAGGAACACCGGUGGCGAAGGCGGGUCUCUGGGCAGUAACUGACGCUGAGAAGCGAAAGCGUGGGGAGCGAAUAGG